UAAAUUUUAGUUGGUGUUGAUGGCAUCUGAUAGCUGAAUUGGUUUUCUCCAGGGCAAGCUAUACCUGCUUCUUCUUGGAACCACAGCACUUAGCUUGGUGACGACCCCUCUGCUAUUCUGCUAUUCAAAAUUAUCCCAGCGGUGGUCCACCUCGGGGUUCUUUUGAGAUGGUUUUCUGUUGAUAGCAAUCAGUUGGGCCUGAAAAAUGAUGGCCUCCGCAUCGAUAGUGGCAAGCGCAUCAAUUUGAUAGUCCAAGGAUCACAUGAUUCAAGACAUUUGGCACACUGCAAGCUGUUUUUUUUUGUAUGGCUUAAGUUUACAAGCUCUGUAAAGUAUUUUCGCCGUUCCGAAGAGUUUGGA